rnacentral:rRNA from 1 species
UAGGGAAUCUUCGGGCAAUGGACGAAAGUCUGACCGAGCAACGCCGCGUGAGUGAAGAAGGUUUUCGGAUCGUAAAACUCUGUUGGUAGAGAAGAACGUUGGUGAGAGUGGAAAGCUCAUCAAGUGACGGUAACUACCCAGAAAGGGACGGCUAACUACGUGCAG